rnacentral:rRNA from 1 species
UACGUAGGUGACAAGCGUUGUCCGGAUUUACUGGGCGUAAAGAGCGCGCAGGCGGUCUUCCAAGUCAGUGGUGAAAGCCCGGAGCUCAACUCCGGAAUUGCCAUUGAAACUGUUAGACUUGAGGAUGAGAGAGGUGAGUGGAAUUCCCAGUGUAGAGGUGAAAUUCGUAGAUAUUGGGAAGAACACCGGUGGCGAAGGCGGCUCACUGGCUCAUUACUGACGCUCAGGCGCGAUAGCGUGGGGAUCAAACAGG